UACGAAGGGGGCUAGCGUUGUUCGGAAUUACUGGGCGUAAAGCGUGCGCAGGCGGCUUCCCAAGUCAGGGGUGAAAGCCCAGAGCUCAACUCUGGAAUUGCCUUUGAGACUGAGUGGCUUGAGUACGAGAGAGGUGAGUGGAAUUCCCAGUGUAGAGGUGAAAUUCGUAGAUAUUGGGAAGAACACCGGUGGCGAAGGCGGCUCACUGGCUCGUAACUGACGCUCAUGCACGACAGCGUGGGGAUCAAACAGG
rnacentral:rRNA from 1 species